rnacentral:snRNA from 1 species
AUACUUACCUGGCAGGGGAGACACCAUGAUCAGGCAGGUGGUUUUCCCAGGGCGAGGCUCAUCCCCUGCACUCCGGGUGUGCUGACCCCUGCGAUUUCCCCAAAUGCGGGAAACUCGACUGCAUAAUUUUUUUUUAUUUGGUGAGGCCGCACCUCG